CGUGGUGUAGAGUUUUAGGGCCUUGGUGUAGAGGCCUUUUGAGAAUGAAGAAACGGAAGCUGCAGGGUCCAAUGGACCACUUUCUCAGACUGGCAGCUAAGAAAAGGCACUCUGAUGCAGUCGAGCCGACGAAUUCUGCUGGUCCGACACAAUCCUCUGCCGAGCCGACACGCUCUGGGCAGCACGCCGAGCCGAUACGGUC